GCGCGAAAACUCUCCAAUGUGCGAAAGCGUGAGAGGGGAAUUCCUAGUGCUAUGGGUUCAUCCCAUGGCUUUUGCCAAGUGUAAAUAGCUUGGCGAAUAAGUGGUGGGUAAGACUGGUGCCAGCCGCCGCGGUAACACCAGCGCCACGAGUGGCGACCGCGAUUAUUGGGCCUAAAGCGUCCGUAGUCGGGCAAGUACAUCUUCUGUGAAAUCGUUGCGCUUAACGUAACGGCAUGCGGAAGACACGACUUGUCUUGAGACCGGGAGGCGUGUGAGGUAUUCCGGGGGGACCGGUAAAAUGGUAUAAUCCCCGGAGGACCACCUGUGGCGAAGGCGUCACACGAGAACGGAUCUGACGAUGAGGGACGAAAGCCAGGGGAGCAAACCGG
rnacentral:rRNA from 1 species